rnacentral:rRNA from 1 species
GACGAACGCUGGCGGCGUGCUUAACACAUGCAAGUCGAACGGAAAGGCCCUUCUUUUGUUGGGUGCUCGAGUGGCGAACGGGUGAGUAACACGUGAGUAACCUGCCCUUGCCUUUGGGAUAACUUCAGGAAACUGGGGCUCAUACCGGAUAGGAGCUCCUGCUGCAUUGUGGUGGUUGGCAAGUGCCGGCGGUUGGGGAUGGACUCGCGGCCUAUCAGCUUGUUGGUGGGGUAAUGGCUUACCAAGGCUCUGACGGGUAGCCGGCCUGAGAGGGUGACCGGCCACAUUGGGACUGAGAUACGGCCCAGACUCCUACGGGAGGCAGCAGUAGGGAAUAUUGCACAAUGGGCGGAAGCCUGAUGCAGCAACGCCGCGUGCGGGAUGACGGCCUUCGGGUUGUAAACCGCUUUCGCCUGUGACGAAGCGUGAGUGACGGUAAUUAGUAAAGAAGCACCGGCUAACUACGUG